UUUUUGGAGAGUUUGAUCCUGGCUCAGGACGAACGCUGGCGGCGUGCUUAACACAUGCAAGUCGUACGAACAGAGAAGAGCUUGCUCUUCAAUGUGAGUGGCGAACGGGUGCGUAACACGUGAGCAACUUGCCUUCUGGUGGGGGAUAGCCGGCCCAACGGCCGGGUAAUACCGCGUACAGCAUCGAGAUCGCAUGGUCAUGAUGUGAAAGCGGCCGCAAGGUCGCGCCGGAAGAGGGGCUCGCGACGUAUCAGCUUGUUGGUGGGGUAACGGCCUACCAAGGCUACGACGCGUAGCUGGUCUGAGAGGAUGAUCAGCCACAUUGGGACUGAGAUACGGCCCAGACUCCUAC
rnacentral:rRNA from 1 species